GAUGAACGCUGGCGGCGUGCCUAAUACAUGCAAGUCGAGCGAACGGACGAGAAGCUUGCUUCUCUGAUGUUAGCGGCGGACGGGUGAGUAACACGUGGAUAACCUACCUAUAAGACUGGGAUAACUUCGGGAAACCGGAGCUAAUACCGGAUAAUAUUUUGAACCGCAUGGUUCAAAAGUAAAAGACGGUCUUGCUGUCACUUAUAGAUGGAUCCGCGCUGCAUUAGCUAGUUGGUAAGGUAACGGCUUACCAAGGCAACGAUGCAUAGCCGACCUGAGAGGGUGAUCGGCCACACUGGAACUGAGACACGGUCCAGACUCCUACGGGAGGCAGCAGUAGGGAAUCUUCCGCAAUGGGCGAAAGCCUGACGGAGCAACGCCGCGUGAGUGAUGAAGGUCUUCGGAUCGUAAAACUCUGUUAUUAGGGAAGAACAUAUGUGUAAGUAACUGUGCACAUCUUGACGGUACCUAAUCAGAAAGCCACGGCUAACUACGUGCCAGCAGCCGCGGUAAUACGUAGGUGGCAAGCGUUAUCCGGAAUUAUUGGGCGUAAAGCGCGCGUAGGCGGUUUUUUAAGUCUGAUGUGAAAGCCCACGGCUCAACCGUGGAGGGUCAUUGGAAACUGGAAAACUUGAGUGCAGAAGAGGAAAGUGGAAUUCCAUGUGUAGCGGUGAAAUGCGCAGAGAUAUGGAGGAACACCAGUGGCGAAGGCGACUUUCUGGUCUGUAACUGACGCUGAUGUGCGAAAGCGUGGGGAUCAAACAGGAUUAGAUACCCUGGUAGUCCACGCCGUAAACGAUGAGUGCUAAGUGUUAGGGGGUUUCCGCCCCUUAGUGCUGCAGCUAACGCAUUAAGCACUCCGCCUGGGGAGUACGACCGCAAGGUUGAAACUCAAAGGAAUUGACGGGGACCCGCACAAGCGGUGGAGCAUGUGGUUUAAUUCGAAGCAACGCGAAGAACCUUACCAAAUCUUGACAUCCUUUGACAACUCUAGAGAUAGAGCCUUCCCCUUCGGGGGACAAAGUGACAGGUGGUGCAUGGUUGUCGUCAGCUCGUGUCGUGAGAUGUUGGGUUAAGUCCCGCGACGAGCGCAACCCUUAAGCUUAGUUGCCAUCAUUAAGUUGGGCACUCUAAGUUGACUGCCGGUGACAAACCGGAGGAAGGUGGGGAUGACGUCAAAUCAUCAUGCCCCUUAUGAUUUGGGCUACACACGUGCUACAAUGGACAAUACAAAGGGCAGCGAAACCGCGAGGUCAAGCAAAUCCCAUAAAGUUGUUCUCAGUUCGGAUUGUAGUCUGCAACUCGACUACAUGAAGCUGGAAUCGCUAGUAAUCGUAGAUCAGCAUGCUACGGUGAAUACGUUCCCGGGUCU
rnacentral:rRNA from 1 species